rnacentral:rRNA from 1 species
GACGAACGCUGGCGGCGUGCUUAACACAUGCAAGUCGAACGGAAAGGCCCUGCUUUUGUGGGGUGCUCGAGUGGCGAACGGGUGAGUAACACGUGAGUAACCUGCCCUUGACUUUGGGAUAACUUCAGGAAACUGGGGCUAAUACCGGAUAGGAGCUCCUGCUGCAUGGUGGGGGUUGGAAAGUUUCGGCGGUUGGGGAUGGACCCGCGGCUUAUCAGCUUGUUGGUGGGGUAGUGGCUUACCAAGGCUUUGACGGGUAGCCGGCCUGAGAGGGUGACCGGCCACAUUGGGACUGAGAUACGGCCCAGACUCCUACGGGAGGCAGCAGUGGGGAAUAUUGCACAAUGGGCGGAAGCCUGAUGCAGCAACGCCGCGUGCGGGAUGACGGCCUUCGGGUUGUAAACCGCUUUCGCCUGUGACGAAGCGUGAGUGACGGUAAUGGGGAAAGAAGCACCGGCUAACUACGU